rnacentral:rRNA from 1 species
AGUGAACGCUGGCGGCGUGCCUAACACAUGCAAGUCGAACGAUGAUUGAGAGCUUGCUCUCAUGGUUAGUGGCGCACGGGUGAGUAUACCAUAGAUAAUGUACCUCUUGGUUCGGGAUAGCCACUGGAAACGGUGAUUAAUACCGGAUACUCCUUCUUGUCUUAAGGCAAGUCGGGAAAGUUUUUUCGCUAAGAGAUCAGUCUAUGUCCUAUCAGCUAGUUGGUGAGGUAAUGGCUCACCAAGGCUAUGACGGGUAUCUGGUUUGAGAGGAUGAUCAGACACACUGGAACUGAGACACGGUCCAGACUCCUACGGGAGGCAGCAGUGAGGAAUAUUGCACAAUGGAGGAAACUCUGAUGUAGCAACGCCGCGUGGAGGAUGACGCAUUUCGGUGUGUAAACUCCUUUUAAGAGGGAAGAUAAUGACGGUACCUCUUGAAUAAGCACCGGCUAACUCCGUGCCAGCAGCCGCGGUAAGAC